rnacentral:rRNA from 1 species
AUCUGGUGGUCUUCUGGCCAUCCGAGUUGUAAUCUAGAGAAGUGUUAUCCGUGCUGGACCGUGUACAAGUCCCCUGGAAUGGGGCGUCAUAGAGGGUGAGAAUCCCGUCUUUGACACGGACUACCAGGGCUUUGUGAUGCACUCUCAACGAGUCGAGUUGUUUGGGAAUGCAGCUCAAAAUGGGUGGUAAAUUCCAUCUAAAGCUAAAUAUUGGCGAGAGACCGAUAGCGAACAAGUACCGUGAGGGAAAGAUGAAAAGAACUUUGGAAAGAGAGUUAAACAGUACGUGAAAUCUGUUCCGAAAGGGAAACGCUUGAAGUCAGUCGCGUGCGGCCGGGGAUCAACCUUGCUUUUGUGAGGCGUACUUUCCUGGUUGACGGGUCAGCAUCAGUUUUGGCUGCUGGACAAAGGUCAGGGAAAUGUGGCACCUUCGGGUGUGUUAUAGUCUCUGAUCAUAUACAGCCUGGCUGGGACUGAGGAACUCAGCACGCCAAAAGGCCGGGGUUUCGCU